rnacentral:rRNA from 1 species
UACGGAGGGUGCAAGCGUUGUCCGGAUUUAUUGGGUUUAAAGGGUGCGUAGGCGGCCCCUUAAGUCAGUGGUGAAAGCCCGCGGCUCAACCGCGGAACUGCCAUUGAUACUGGGGGGCUUGAGUACAGACGAGGUAGGCGGAAUUGAAGAUGUAGCGGUGAAAUGCUUAGAUAUCGUCAAGAACACCGAUUGCGUAGGCAGCUUACUAGGCUGUAACUGACGCUGAGGCACGAAAGCGUGGGGAGCGAACAGG